UACAGAGGGGGCAAGCGUUAUUCGGAAUUAUUGGGCGUAAAGGGCGCGUAGGCGGCUUGGCAAGUGGAUGGUGAAAUCCCUCGGCUUAACCGAGGAACUGCCGUCCAAACUGCUUCGCUUGAGACCGGGAGAGGUGAGUGGAAUUCCCAGUGUAGCGGUGAAAUGCGUAGAUAUUGGGAGGAACACCAGUGGCGAAGGCGGCUCACUGGACCGGAAACUGACGCUGAGGCGCGAAAGCGUGGGGAGCAAACAGG
rnacentral:rRNA from 1 species